UACAGAGGGUGCAAGCGUUAAUCGGAUUUACUGGGCGUAAAGCGUGCGUAGGUGGCUCGCCAAGUCGAUUGUGAAAGCCCUGGGCUCAACCUGGGAAUUGCAGUCGAUACUGGUGAACUAGAGUUCGGUAGAGGGUGACGGAAUUCCCGGUGUAGCGGUGAAAUGCGCAGAUAUCGGGAGGAACACCAAUGGCGAAGGCAGCUCGCUGGGACGUUACUGACGCUGAGACGCGAAAGCGUGGGGAGCAAACAGG
rnacentral:rRNA from 1 species